rnacentral:rRNA from 1 species
GACGAACGCUGGCGGCGUGCUUAACACAUGCAAGUCGAGCGAUGAAGCGCCUUCGGGCGUGAAUUAGCGGCGAACGGGUGAGGAACACGUGAGAAAUCUGCCUUCAACACUGGGAUAACUCCGGGAAACCGGGGCUAAUACCGGAUAUGAAACCUGCGGGCAUCCGCGGGUUUGGAAAGUUUUUCGGUUGAAGAUGAUCUCGCGGCCUAUCAGCUUGUUGGUGAGGUAAUGGCUCACCAAGGCGACGACGGGUAGCCGGCCUGAGAGGGCGACCGGCCACACUGGGACUGAGACACGGCCAAGACUCCUACGGGAGGCGGCAGUGGGGAAUAUUGGGCAAUGGAGGAAACUCUGACCCAGCGACGCCGCGUGCGGGAUGAAGGCCUUCGGGUUGUAAACCGCUUUCAACAGGGAAGAAGCGAAAGUGACGGUACCUGCAGAAGAAGCACCGGCUAACUAUGUGCCAGCCGCCGCGGUAA